rnacentral:rRNA from 1 species
CCAUGCCACACUGAAUGUCCCUGAUCUUGUUUGUCUCAGAAGCCAAGCAUGGUUGGGCCUGGUUAGUACUUGGAUGGGAGAUUGUCUAGGAAUACUGGAUG